rnacentral:rRNA from 1 species
AAUCAACGCUGGCGGCGUGCCUCAGACAUGCAAGUCGAACGAUUAAAGCUCCCUUCGGGGAGUGCAUAAAGUGGCGCACGGGUGAGUAACACGUAAGUAAUCUACCUUCGAGUGGGGAAUAACGUUCGGAAACGAACGCUAAUACCGCAUAAUGCAGCGGCAUCUAUGAUGACAGUUGUUAAAGAUUUAUCGCCUGAAGAGGAGCUUGCGGCAGAUUAGCAGUUGGUAAGGUAAUGGCUUACCAAGGCUACGAUCUGUAUCCGGUCUAAGAGGACGGUCGGACACACU